rnacentral:tRNA from 2 species
GCCCACAUAGCUCAGCUGGCAGAGCACUUCCUUGGUAAGGAAGAGGUCUUGGGUUCGAGUCCCAAUGUGGGCUCCA